UGCUAAAGAGGGGUAUUUAGAGUAUGCAGAGGCUCUUUGCUUUGAGAGGCUGCACAAUAGUUCAGUUCAGGAGUCUCAAUGUCGUCCAGGAGGAUGGCAACAGAUGGAGGAGCUGCUUCUGCUUAUUUUAUUUUGGAUAUAAAUAUACCAUGUCAAAUUCAAAUGUAAUUUCUUUUUUUUUUUACACAUUGCCUGUAGCCAUAUAAUAUGUUUUACACUGGGAGCAACACUUUGGUUUGCUAGGGGUUGGUGUAUGUCUUUUUUUAUUGCACUGAAAGAGUUCUGCAUGGGCAUAAAACUGAGACCUGAAUCCAGCCCGUACGGGCGCCUUUUGGACCCAAUGCAACUUGGAUAUUUCUUCUUCAAAGAUAAAGUUAUAUGCUUGCUUUGAAAGUCUUUCUCACUUACAGUAAAUAACUAAUCUGACUACUGACUAAUACACACAUUGCGGUCUAGCAUCUAAAAAACAAAAUGUUUUUUGCCUUACUGGUUGGUAGAUCAACUUUGCAUAUCUACUUCUGGCACGCAUCAACAAAGACGAUUGACAGUCAGAAAGAGAAAAUAUAUUUUUUGUUUAAAUUAUAUUUGAGAAUAAUAAUCCAACCCCAACCCAAAUAUUUAUGGAAAAAAACACAUCCUGAACCCAACAUGACAUGUGAAUCAUUGUCAAGUUCAGGCCAGGUUUCUAAACUUUAACUAGAGAGGAUCCGGUUAAGUAGUAAAUGCUUGUAUAAUUACAUAAUCUGAAAUUUGAACUCUGCAGUAAUUUCUAUUUGGUGUUUAUACUCCAAAUGAUUCGGUAUUUUUGACACAGUACAUCCUGGCUAUUUUGAACAGGAAGCCAGUGAAAUGUUAUGGCUCAUCCCUGUUGUGUAACACCAUCUCUGUCUUGUUAAGAGAGGUUAUGGUGGCCUUCAGAGUAAGAAAAUUACGAGUCUAGGAGAGCGAUACUGUAAAUUAAAAAAGGUGGCUUCACCUCAACAAAGAGACGACAGGCCCUAAUAAGUAAUAAGGAGCAGCGAAGAAUUAAAGUCCUCGAUUAUUCUCCAACGUCUCACAGCUGUAAAAGAAAAGAGCCAAGGAGAGAAAAUGGAGAUUAUGGAGAUAAAGAAUGGUAAACAUUGUGAUAAAAACUGAGUCCAUAGGCAAAUUCAAUGUGGCUCCAACCUACAGUAUUAAUGAGGGAUGAGAUUUUCUAUAGAUAUACCCAAGAUAAAAUAUGCAAGAAGAUGAAAAUCAAAAGUUCCCAGCAACAAGCCUGCCUUAAAUUUUUUUGGAAAGACCGUUGUUUGAGCUCUUCUCUUCCCUGGCAUCUGUCUUGGCCCUGGCAAUAAUCUGCUAAUUUUAAGAUUCCAUUGUUGGGUGGGCUGUAAGGAUUCAUCCUCAAGUGUUCACUCGCCUUCGCUUCUCCAGUAAGAUUACUCACGACAUAACAGGUUUUUUAAUAUGCUUGGUAUACUUUUGAUCUGCAGGCCCAAACGGCUUCUCUGGCUUCCUCUUUCAUAGUCAUCCACCAGGUUUCUCUUCGCUCAUUAAAGGGGACCGGAUGGUACUUAGCAGCUCUUGGAUUAGCGGUCUGCAGAAAAGAGAGAGAAGUGAGAUUUGCAAUUGCAUGUGCGUAAAGUGGCUGCUAUUUAGCUGUGUCUUAAAUACAGUACACCAUAGAGACUUCUUCUUCUGCUACUGCUCUGGAUCUCUGCCACCUUCACAGCAACAUAAUUAUGCUGUAAAAUGGGGAUAUCAUGGGAAGCAGCAUGAAGAGGAAAAUGUUAUUGGUUUAAAAGAAAAAAGUGGGGCAGGUAACUGGUUGGUAACAUGAUAACAUAGUUGAGACCAAAAUGUAUUUUGGCGUAAAAUGUUGCUAAUCAGUUCCCAAAGCAGGAAAAAAACAAAUCCUGAGACAAGCUUUUAAAUUGUGUUUGAUGCAGACGUGUUAUUCUUCUGAUGAACUUCUGCGGCGUGAGUUACCAAUGAUCCUCUGUUGAAUUAGCAUUAGCAUUCCACUCACAAGCAUCAACAACACAGAGAAUAAUUUAGUUCAGUUGUGCUAAAUGUAUCAAGACAAUACAUAAGUUAAAGGUACCAUGUGGAGUUUUUGACCCUUAGUGCUAUGGGCAAGUUUUUUUUAGGAGUGGGUCCGGUUUCCUGCAUGUGUACUCGGGCGAUGAUCUUCCUGAGGCAGUAAUGUAACAAUGCACCAACAAACAGAGACGAAUAAGAGUGCAAGCUACUGUAGCAAAAAAUUGAUGUAAACAAUGCAGGAUUUAAAAUACUUUAUACCUCAAGGAUGCACUGCACACACAAUGUGUUUUGGUGAGUAAGUAAUUUUAUUUAUACAUCAACUUUCAAUUGUAGACCUCACAAAAUGCUUUACAAUAAAAGACAAAAGAGCAAAAAAAUCAUGUGAAAGAAAACAAAAAUUUUAUGUAAUGUAAACAUAACACCAAAUUAAAACAGGAACAGAUCUGAAACACAGGGACACUUUUUACUAAAAUGUGAUGAAUUGUAACUAUAAUGGAAAAUAAAGGUCUGUCUCUUAAAUAGGCAUAUUUAUAAAAAUAAAUAAAAAAAACGUUUAGUUAUUAAUGCGACUGAGGUAAUUGAAGAUGCCACGAAAGAUCUAAGAAUCUACACCUUGAAUAGGCUUCAUAUUGUAAUUUUGCUACUGCUACUUCUGUCUACUCUGCAAACACAAUGCUAUUGUAUGUCCGUCCUGGAAGAAGGAUCCCUCCUCUUGCUCUUACUAGGGUUUCUCAUUCAUUUUUUCCUGCUUUUUUUACUAUCCGAAAGGAGCAUAUUGUAAAGCUCUCUGAAACAUUUUUGAUUUUGGACUGUAGAAUGAAAUGUACUUGUAACUUAACUUGAUGUCACUGACCCACCAACUGUAUCUUCCUGUCUUAAUGGUUUUUCAGUAGACUGUCCUUAUUAAUGAUUAAUGAUUUUCAGCUACCAACUUGUGUUUUGUUUCUCGUUGUCUUGCUUGAAAAUGCUCACUCACACACAUACACCAUAAUGGACUAGCUGACCAGGUGGCCCAGCUCUCUGUCACACUGACUUCUUAUUUCAAGAUGAUUGUCUGUCCCAAUCUGAUGCACUCUCAAACCCUCAGUGACCUCAAAGAACCUGCUUCCUCCAACAUGGCCCAAUUUUCCAAGUGGCUACACAGUGGUUAGCUAAAAUCACAGAUGAUAAGCCAGAGAGAAAAAGAAAUGUCUGGACAAAUCGAGCACAGUAGGUGGAAACGAAAUGUCAGACUCAUCUUGUGUGCCGAUGCUCCUGCCCUGACCUUGGCAACAAUAGAUUCCUUUGUUCUGUAUCAUGAAUAUCAUCUCUUUGCCAAGCAGUCUUGAAUUGUGGUGGAAAUAUAAUGAAAGUAGCAGGAAGAAUGAGGAAGAGGAAGGGAGAAAAGAGAAGCCCACAGACUGUCUGGCAUGCUGGGAAGGUCUUAAUUGUCUAACCUCAAGACCUUUUUUUAAAUCAACCAAUAAUUGAAUGGUCUUUGUG